rnacentral:ncRNA from 1 species
GCUUCCGCUAUCCGAACUGUCGCCGUAUGGUUGGCGUGCCUGGGUUCCGCCCAGGAUAGGACGCGGGAGCGCAU